CAGCACGUUGCAAACGCUAUGGAGCUGAGAGGUUGUGAGGAUUGCUUUCCUGCUGUCUGAACUCUUUCUCCCCUACUGAAACGUAGCGGAGUGAAAUAUAAGGUACCAAGGAGGAUCAACAUAUAGGCCUAUACCAAGAUGAAGUUUAUGACCUUCUGAGCUGACUGUGCCUCUGCUUUGUCUGACGUGGAAGCUGAUCUCCAAGAGCUGUCUCAGUGAAAGACUGGGAAUGAAUGCAGAGAUGAUCCUGAUGUCAAGGGGAAGAUUCUGCCAAAACUAGAGCAUUUUAAAAUGCCAG